CAACAAGAUCUUUAUUAAAACAUAGAUGACAGCGAUUCAAAAUAGCCGAAGAUCGCGCCAAGGCUCUGCGGGAAUCGCUUAUCCCAUCCUCGUCGCCGGUUUCGUAGACUGAGUGAAGGAACGCAGGAGCCAUGGAUGUGAGCAACAAGAUCUUUAUUAAAACAUAGAUGACAGCGAUUCAAAAUAGCUGAAGAUCGCGCCAAGGUUGUUACCAGCCUUCAAUCAACAAAAGGCCUUCUUCUAUCCAAAGAUAGGACCAACAUCUAAUCAAGGAUCAUAUAAGAAGUAAAAAGGAUGGAAAUAAUUUAGUCUUUUCCCCUUCACUGUAGUAUUUCUUCUACCAAUGUUCUAGUAUCAGAAAUGGUACGAAUCACUGUGCAGUGAUAUUUACUUUUUAUCUUCUGCUAACAGAAGCAGAACUCAAUUCAGAAUAUGUUCCUUUCAUUUCAAAUAAACUCCAAAUCUCAGUCAUCAAAUCCCUACAUUCUGUUUCAAGAAUGUGAAAAAGAUUUUAAAAAAUGAAGACCAAAGAAUAGAUUACUAGAUGAGUAUCUAUAUAAGCUGAAUUAUCUGCACUUUAAUAGGAAAAAGAAAAAA